rnacentral:lncRNA from 10 species
UGCCUGUGCAGAAGGCUGGGGCUGACGCCGCGCCAAGAGUGGAGGGCUCUGCGGGCUCCAGAGCCUCUCGCCGGGAAGCUGCUCCCCAGGCACCCACCCACGCGCACACGGCCCUCAGGAGCCCUGGCGGAGGGCGGGCUGGGUGUGCACAUGCGUGUGUGUGUGUCCAAGAGUGUGCGCGGAAACGCUAAGUGACUUGUACAAGCUCAUCCUGCAGGGCCGGGGGAGAGCUGAGCCCGAGGAGGGACUGAGCCCAAGGAAGGACUUCCUCUCCUGGCCCUGAGGGUGGUUGGACCCACAGCUGCAGAUGAAGUUCUUGGCCACACAGAAAAUUGGGGCUGACCCCCACCCGUGCAGGCCCCAGGUUGGAAGUGGGCCACAUACAUGGGAACUGUCCACUGAAGUACAGGUGACCUCAGAGGAGGACCAAGGUGAUCCGGCUGGGGCAAGGACAGCAUCUGUAGCCCGCGUGUCCACAGGGAGCAUCUGAGUCCUGGAGAAGUGUGGUGGUUUCUGGGCCGGGAAAGUAGGGCUAGGGUGGAGAGUGUGGGUGUGGGGGAGGAGGAUGCCGUAAACCCUGCCCUGCCCUGCCCUGGGGGUCUCACUCACAGGCACAGAGCUGGACAGCAUUUUCACUAACGUAAUCUUUCUACUUGCCUGGAAGAAUCUGAGGAAGGUUAUCUGAGCCUAGUCUCACCAGAUGCCACGCAAUUCAGUAUGGCCUUGCUGAGGGUUCUCUCCAUGGCCCCCAGCCUGUGAGGGACACACAAUAUUUACUAACUCACUGGUGGCUGAGUCAUCAUCCACUCGUUCAUUUAUUCCACAAAGACGGCUCUGAUCACACCCGCGGCAAGUGGCCGGCACUCCCUGGAGCUCCAGGCAUCUUGUCUCUCGCAUGCACCAGGCUCUCUGCAGCAGAUGCUCUUGGGUGUUCCUGUGGGCAGGGCACACCCCGUCCUCCACACAGCCCAGCUCCCAGCUCGGUGCCUGACCUAGGCCAGCCCUUGGUGAAGAGCAGGGAAACGGACGGCAGACAUGGGGGCAGGCAUGGGGCGCAGAGGGGACCCCACCUGCCUCCCACAAGCUGCCCGUAGCUGGAGGGCUGUUCAUAAAUAAUUCGAGCUCAGGUGUGAGGGGUGUAUCGCUUCCCUCAUCCCAGUGGGGCUGCAACACACAAGGGUGAAACUGACUUCAGCGACAGGAGCCCGGGGUGGGGGAGGGCCGGAUGUCCUGAGUCCCGGGGUCACAGAUGUCUCGGAUGGUGGGAUAUUCUCAGAGCCCUCAAGCCACGUGGAAAACACAUCCUGAGCCUUUCCAGCAGGAAGAGCAGGUGAAGAAGGUUGGAGAACCUAGAUGCCAGAUUGAGGCUUAGCUCUGUUCUCUGCUGGCAACUGGCAAGCCGUUUAAUGUCUCUGAGCCUCAGUUUCCCAUUUGUAAAAUGGGAACCAUGGCAGUGCCUACCCCUCAGGUUGCUGUGAAGACUAAACGAGAUGAUAUAGGUAAAGGGGACGGAACAGGGCCUGGUGUAUAGUAGAUAAGUAUUUGUUAUUUUUAGCAUUUAUUUCUUCAUUCUUUCCUUCCCACAAGUGUUUGUCAAGCACAAACUAUGUGCUAGGCCCUGGGGAUGUAGCUGAAAGUAAGGAUCCCAGUGCCUUGGAGCAUAUUGGUUCCAGCCCAAGAUACCUACUGCAGCAGCUGCUCUGUGGGUGACGUGAGUUCCAGGGCAUGAGCCUGAUUUUUAAAUUGCAAAGUAAUAAUGAUGAUACCAAAUCUGGGGCCAGGAUGGGAAGCAGGUAUCCUUCUCCCCAAAGGCCUCCCGGCAGCUGGCUGAGAGACACAUUCUAUGUGGGAGGCAGGAGGCAGGAGCCCCAAGUGUUGGAGCCGUGGGUCCCCUGAAUGCAGAAACAUUCAGCUAUCCCCACCUGGUGAAUGGGGAUCAUGUCCAAGGGAACAGAGGAGCAAGUUUGGUGAAACUUUUGAGAAGAUAGCUGGAUUCCCAUAUCUGCUUCUGCAUCCAGUCUGUUGUGAUAUCACGUGUCAUGUCGCCUCUGGAAAGUGCCACUCUACACUUAGAAGUUCAAGAAUGAGAAGAAAAAGGCGGAUAAUGUCUCAGUGUUAUUAUGAAAAUAUUUUUGACCUUGUGGAUCCCCCAGGGAUUCCUUGGCCACACUUUGAGAACUGCUGCACUAUGCCAUUAAUGUUCAUUGAUGACACAUCAAUAUACACAAUGUAUCACCACUACACAUUUUAUAAAGUCUCAGGCAUAUUCAAGGCUGUAUAUCAAAUACAUUGACUCAGCCCCUGUGGAAUACAGGAAGGGAAUGGGAUAAAAGGGGGAAUGAAAUAAAUAAGAUAAAGCAAGAAAGAAUCUG